ACAUAGCAUACAAAUCUUUCAGCUUUCCAUAGACCCCAUUUUCUCACCAGAAAUUAUGUUCUUUGGGUGGGGAAGCAUUCUUAUUUAAUCUACUAACCCAGACCAGAAUGUGAUAAGAAAUACUGUUACUCUUGUAAGAGUAAUAGAAAUGAAUAAAAAUGCAUUUUAAAAGGCACCUUCUGGAGCUGCAUUCACUUGAAUCAAAGGCUGACCCUGCAGGGUUGGCACGGCAGCAGCUGCUAGAGGAGCGGUUCUGGAGCAAAUGGGCAUAUUCCCCUUUCUGACCCUGCCAAAUAUAAGACCUUCAGCCUACUCCAUCCAAGGCAUCCAUCUGUCUUCAGAAGAGAUUAGAAUUUUGUUCUGAAGCCAUGCAAAGAGUAAGACCAAGUGCUAACAUCCAAUUUGCAUGUGCCGGGAGAGAAAAUUCUUCAUGGAUCUCUGGUGCUCCUACACAUCUCACUGAGUCAAGAUGAAGAUGCCAUCUGAAAUUUCUAUUCUAUGAAUGACAUCUGGAUAUUGAUUUCCUGAAAUUUUCUUGAAACUACACCUUGUCCUCUCUAUGAGGAUACACCUCCAACAGCCACAAAGAAGCCAGCCUAGCUCUCAGUCCAGGUACCAACUAUCCAGGAGAAUCAUUACUUCCUCUCAGGCAGCUUCAAGGCUGAAACAAUGGCCCAUGACUUCUGUCUCUCCUCAAUCAAUUCCCUCACUGGAGUUCUUCCCCUGAACAAAGACCAGCUUGUUCAUUUGCAUUUCAUUGGCAGAUAAUAUUACUUGAGAUAUCAUUCAAUUUGUUAUUUUUAUCUUAACAUACACGGGGGUGGGGAGGAGAAAAAGAAAUUAAGCAAACUGUGAAUGUCCCUUUGUUCAGUGUUAUCUGUUUCUGUUAACUAUGUAAGAUGUUGGUAGAUGGCAAACAAACUCCCUGAGAAAAAAACAGUGGGAGUUUUCAUAUGAAAGUGUUCAGAGAGUGGUUCAAUGAUCACUCUGCAAGAUAUUGUAGGAAAUAUCUGCACCCAUCUGAGAGAUUAACUGGAUGCCUUCUAAGGACCCAUCUAUUUCCAUGGUUUAGUGAUACAAUAAUUAAUUAAUUUAUGCAACAGAUAAUGAGUAUUUACCAUUUGCAAGGCACAAGGAGUAGCUGAAAUCUAGAAACUUUGCAUGUGAAAUGUUUAACUUUUUUGUCUAACACAUUUCGUACAAGGGUUUAAAAUUAGAUCCAGGGUUGGCGAGAGACAUAUAAUAUCUAAGACGUUAUUGAAAUACAAGAAUAAAACCAUUGUUUUCACUGUUGAAGAGAAGGAAUGUUUCCUCACUUGGUAAUGUAAAAUUUGUUUUUGCCAUUAAAGACUGAUUUUUCUUUCUACAUUAAACAUAUUAAACUCUAAUAGGAAAAUUAAGCCACCUAUUGAUUUUUUUCUUUUCUUUUUGCCAAUAGAAUAACACUUUUCUUCUCUCUCAGUAGAACCCUCCUUCCAUGUGAGAAACCAAUGACACAGGAUUUUGGGAAGGAUCAACCUGCUCCUUCACCCACUGACAAGGGAAAGUAAUGACAUAGGGCCAGCUCCAUAAGAGUUGCCAUCCCCCUUGUCAAUGAGUUGAUGGGCCCAAGGAUGAAAACAUGAUUGAUUCAAGGAUGGAAAAUGAUUAAAGUCUGGAAAAUCAGGUUCCACAGAAUCUUUUCUGCUGAGGGUAUCUGUAAAGAUUCUAUUCACUAGUUACAAAUUUGGUAAGAUGUGAGCUUGGUGUAGCUGACUGGCCAUACCAUCAGCUAUGUGUAGACAGACUGUCCAUGAGCUGGAGAGACAGAACCUUGACAAUGUUACAGUAUUCCUGUAUUCAGCCUUCUUCUAACUUGGUCUCCUACUUAUGCAAAUAAACACAGAGACCUAAUCCACAUUUUUCAUGGCUUCUCCAAACUGAACUUAAUAAACAUGUGAAGUAAAUUGAAAUCUUUAAAUCACCUCUGUUUAUCAAAAGUAUUGCAUCUGAUAAACAUCAUUAUUUAGCUGCUUUAAAAUGCAUGUUACUUUGGAACAUGGUUUUUGAACAGAGUCAACUGUCAAUUCCUGAAGAUCAGCUCUGUUUCCCCAAUAUCCACCUUCUGACUGCCCAUUCAGCACCUCUCUAGACACAAAAUGUCUAAAUGAGAUUUUUAUUUUAAAUGGGUGAGGGUCAGAAACAAAUAAUUUUUUUAAAAAAUUUAAUGUCAAAUAAGGGUCUUGGUUUUGACAUCUAUAAUAAAACCUCAACUAAUGAAUGCAAUAAUACUAUCUCUUCUUUUACCAAGCAAAAAGAUUAAAUGUUUUAAAACAUUUCUUUCAAAAUAUGUUUGAAAUAAA
ensembl:lncRNA novel transcript, antisense to CCDC141and TTN